CCUACGGGGGGCUGCAGUGGGGAAUAUUGGACAAUGGGGGCAACCCUGAUCCAGCCAUGCCGCGUGUGUGAAGAAGGCCCUCGGGUUGUAAAGCACUUUCAGUGAGGAAGAACGCCUUGUGGUUAAUACCCAUCAGGAAAGACAUCACUCACAGAAGAAGCACCGGCUAACUCCGUGCCAGCAGCCGCGGUAAUACGGAGGGUGCGAGCGUUAAUCGGAAUUACUGGGCGUAAAGCGCGCGUAGGUGGCUUGAUAAGCCGGUUGUGAAAGCCCCGGGCUCAACCUGGGAACGGCAUCCGGAACUGUCAAGCUAGAGUGCAGGAGAGGAAGGUAGAAUUCCCGGUGUAGCGGUGAAAUGCGUAGAGAUCGGGAGGAAUACCAGUGGCGAAGGCGGCCUUCUGGACUGACACUGACACUGAGGUGCGAAAGCGUGGGUAGCAAACAGGAUUAGAUACCCGAGUAGUC
rnacentral:rRNA from 1 species